rnacentral:rRNA from 1 species
AUUGAACGCUGGCGGCAUGCCUUACACAUGCAAGUCGAACGGCAGCACGGGAGCAAUCCUGGUGGCGAGUGGCGAACGGGUGAGUAAUAUAUCGGAACGUGCCCAGUCGUGGGGAUAACGUAGCGAAAGCUACGCUAAUACCGCAUACGAUCUACGGAUGAAAGCGGGGGAUCGCAAGACCUCGCGCGAUUGGAGCGGCCGAUAUCAGAUUAGGUAGUUGGUGAGGUAAAGGCUCACCAAGCCGACGAUCUGUAGCUGGUCUGAGAGGACGACCAGCCACACUGGGACUGAGACACGGCCCAGACUCCUACGGGAGGCAGCAGUGGGAAUUUUGGACAAUGGGCGCAAGCCUGAUCCAGCAAUGCCGCGUGCAGGAUGAAGGCCUCGGUU